rnacentral:rRNA from 1 species
GACGAACGCUGGCGGCGUGCUUAACACAUGCAAGUCGAACGGAAAGGCCCUGCUUUUGUGGGGUGCUCGAGUGGCGAACGGGUGAGUAACACGUGAGUAACCUGCCCUUGACUUUGGGAUAACUUCAGGAAACUGGGGCUAAUACCGGAUAGGAGCUCCUGCUGCAUGGUGGGGGUUGGAAAGUUUCGGCGGUUGGGGAUGGACUCGCGGCUUAUCAGCUUGUUGGUGGGGUAGUGGCUUACCAAGGCUUUGACGGGUAGCCGGCCUGAGAGGGUGACCGGCCACCUUGGGACUGCGAUAGGGACCAGAGUCGUACGGGAGGCAGUAGUGGGGAAUAUUGCACAAUGGGCGGAAGCCGGAGGAGGCAACGCCGCGUGCGGGAUGACGGCUUGUGGGUUGUAAACCGCUUCAGCCUGUGACGAAGCGUGAGUGACGGUAAUGGGUAAAGAAGCACCGGCUAACUACGUG